GACGAACGCUGGCGGCGUGCUUAACACAUGCAAGUCGAACGGAAAGGCCCUGCUUUUGUGGGGUGCUCGAGUGGCGAACGGGUGAGUAACACGUGAGUAACCUGCCCUUGACUUUGGGAUAACUUCAGGAAACUGGGGCUAAUACCGGCUAGGAGCUCCUGCUGCAUGGUGGGGGUUGGACAGUUUCGGCGGUUGGGGAUGGACUCGGGGCUUAUGAGCUUGUUGGUGGGGUAGUGGCUUACCAAGGCUUUGACGGGUAGCCGGCCUGAGAGGGUGACCGGCCACAUGGGGACUGAGAUACGGCCCAGACGCCUACGGGAGGCAGGGGUGGGGAAUAGUGCACAAUGGGCGGAAGCCUGAUGCAGCAACGCCGGGUGCGGGAUGACGGCCUUCGGGUUGUAAACCGCUUUCGCCUGUGACGAAGCGUGAGUGACGGUAAUGGGUAAAGAAGCACCGGCUAACUACGU
rnacentral:rRNA from 1 species